rnacentral:rRNA from 1 species
GACGAACGCUGGCGGCGUGCUUAACACAUGCAAGUCGAACGGUAAGGCUCCAGCUUGCUGGGGUACACGAGUGGCGAACGGGUGAGUAACACGUGGGUGACCUGCCCUGCACUUCGGGAUAAGCCUGGGAAACUGGGUCUAAUACCGGAUAGGACCAUGGUGUGGAUACUGUGGUGGAAAGUUUUUUCGGUGUGGGAUGGGCCCGCGGCCUAUCAGCUUGUUGGUGGGGUAAUGGCCUACCAAGGCGGCGACGGGUAGCCGGCCUGAGAGGGUGGACGGCCACAUUGGGACUGAGACACGGCCCAGACUCCUACGGGAGGCAGCAGUGGGGAAUAUUGCACAAUGGGCGGAAGCCUGAUGCAGCGACGCCGCGUGGGGGAUGACGGCCUUCGGGUUGUAAACUCCUUUCACCAUCGACAAAGGGUUUCUGACGGUAGAUGGAGAAGAAGCACCGGCUAACUACGUG